GGAAAGAUGGCCGAGUGGUUUAAGGUGCAGCACUGGAACCGCUAUGUAGACUUCCGUCUGCCGAGGGUUCGAAUCCCUCUCUUUCCC
rnacentral:tRNA from 3 species